UGACCCGGCACAGCUCAAAUUUGAAAUCUGGCUCUUUUAGGGUCCGAGUUGUAAUUUGCAGAGGGCGCUUUGGCUUUGGCAGCGGUCCAAGUUCCUUGGAACAGGACGUCACAGAGGGUGAGAAUCCCGUACGUGGUCGCUAGCUAUUGCCGUGUAAAGCCCCUUCGACGAGUCGAGUUGUUUGGGAAUGCAGCUCUAAAUGGGAGGUAAAUUUCUUCUAAAGCUAAAUAUUGGCCAGAGACCGAUAGCGCACAAGUAGAGUGAUCGAAAGAUGAAAAGCACUUUGGAAAGAGAGUCAAACAGCACGUGAAAUUGUUGAAAGGGAAGCGCUUGCAGCCAGACUUGCUUGCAGUUGCUCAUCCGGGCUUUUGCCCGGUGCACUCUUCUGUAGGCAGGCCAGCAUCAGUUUGGGCGGUGGGAUAAAGGUCUCUGUCACGUACCUCUCUUCGGGGAGGCCUUAUAGGGGAGACGACAUACCACCAGCCUAGACUGAGGUCCGCGCAUCUGCUAGGAUGCUGGCGUAAUGGCUGUAAGCGGCCCGUCUUGAAACACGGACCAAGGAGUCUAACAUCUAUGCGAGUGUUUGGGUGUCAAGCCCGAGCGCGUAAUGAAAGUGAACGGAGGUGGGAACCCGCAAGGGUGCACCAUCGACCGAUCCUGAAGUUUUCGGAAGGAUUUGAGUAAGAGCAUGGCUGUUGGGACCCGAAAGAUGGUGAACUAUGCUUGAAUAGGGUGAAGCCAGAGGAAACUCUGGUGGAGGCUCGCAGCGGUUCUGACGUGCAAAUCGAUCGUCAAAUUUGGGCAUAGGGGCGAAAGACUAAUCGAACUAUCUAGUAGCU
rnacentral:rRNA from 1 species